rnacentral:rRNA from 1 species
GACGAACGCUGGCGGCGUGCUUAACACAUGCAAGUCGAACGCUGAAGCGCAGCUUUUGUUGGGUGGAUGAGUGGCGAACGGGUGAGUAACACGUGAGUAACCUGCCUCCUUCUUUGGGAUAACGCCCGGAAACGGGUGCUAAUACUGGAUAUUCACUGGGCUUCGCAUGGGGGACGGUGGAAAGGGGCUUUCUGGGGGGGGAUGGGCUCGCGGCCGGUCGGCUGGUUGGUGGGGUGAUGGCCUACCAAGGCUUUGACGGGCUGCCGGCCUGAGGGGGUGCCCGGUCACUUUGAGACGGACAAGCGGCCCAGGCUCGUCCGCGGGGCGGCAUUGUGGACUAUUGCCCAAUGGGCGAUAGACUGAUGCCGCGUCGCUGCGUGAGGGCUGGGGGCUGUCGGGUUGUGAACCUCUUUCGGUCAUGGUCGAGCCGCAACCAUGGUUGUGGUGAGGGUAGUGGGUAAAGAAGCGCCGGCUAACUACGUG